AAACUAAGUCACGUGAGGACCUGGGACGCUAGGUGCCGGAAACUGACCUGAGCUGGAGCUUGUGCUUCCAGUGGGUGUUGGGGCGCCUGGUAUGCUGACAUCAGGUAAGCAGACUGCCUCGGGAAAGGCUUAAGGACAAGAGAUCGGCAGCCUGAACUGGCUGGGGCGUCAGAAAGGCUUAGAUCCUGUGGCCAAGAGAUCAGACCGUGGCGAAGUGGAGAGUGACCUGCAGUUGGAUGGCGGUGACUGCAUGCCACUUUGUGGGGUUAUAAGAAGGAAUUCCCUUGAAGGCUGUAACCAAAGGUGAGGAUACUAUUUUAUUCUUUCACAUGUCAACUGCUCUUCUAAGCAAAAAGAGGUUGGUGCAUCUUGCUCUGGGGUAUUAUUUGGAAGACAUUAUUUGUGGAACAUAAUGGCAUGACAUUUACACAUACUCACCUUCUGACUUUGAGUAUGAACAUGUAGCUUGUGUGUAUGUGUGAAUAUAUAUACACCACGAUGUCAUUCUAAAGAGUUUGGAAAUAACUGUUCAUACAUGUAGCUUACCUUCUUCCUUAGAAUUACUUUCUUGUGAGACAGCAUUAAAGAAUUAUUCCAUCUCUGAAGUCCUUGGCCUGGGAAACAUGGUGAAUUGAAGGAUCCUUACACAUUCUGUGUGACCAGCUAUUAAACAUUAUGAGGACUUGGUCUCUCUGUCACUGACUUGGAAGUUAAUGAAAUGUUGAGGCAACCAGUAUUGACACCUUGCAGCUUUUGCCCCUGAUUUUGUUUGUUUCCAGGUGAAUUAAUUCUCUUUUUUACUCAUGAUUAUAUAAUGCCUUCUCUUUUCACCAGCGAAGAGUGAAGGAAUGAGAUUGAGAACCCUAGACUCUUCUGGAUUUUAAUGUCUUCUUUGAGGAAUUCCUGGAAGACAGAAAGCAGAUGGAGCCACUGUGUAGGAGGCUGGCGGGCAGCAGACCGCCAGAAAGGAGGAGGAGGGGAGUCGGCCUGUCUGGCUAGGGUUUGAGGAAAACGGUCGAGGGGCGGAGGAGGAAAUGAGAGAGCGCGUGUGUCAAUACAAACUGAACGCGGGCACGCGCGCUGACCAGCCAGGCUGCAGCCCGCGGAGCGGAAGGCGG
rnacentral:lncRNA from 1 species